rnacentral:rRNA from 1 species
UGGGGAAUAUUGGACAAUGGGGGGAACCCUGAUCCAGCCAUGCCGCGUGUGUGAAGAAGGCCUUAUGGUUGUAAAGCACUUUAAGCGAGGAGGAGGCUACUAGUAUUAAUACUACUGGAUAGUGGACGUUACUCGCAGAAUAAGCACCGGCUAACUCUGUGCCAGCAGCCGCGGUAAUACAGAGGGUGCGAGCGUUAAUCGGAUUUACUGGGCGUAAAGCGUGCGUAGGCGGCCAUUUAAGUCAAAUGUGAAAUCCCCGAGCUUAACUUGGGAAUUGCAUUCGAUACUGGAUGGCUAGAGUAUGGGAGAGGAUGGUAGAAUUCCAGGUGUAGCGGUGAAAUGCGUAGAGAUCUGGAGGAAUACCGAUGGCGAAGGCAGCCAUCUGGCCUAAUACUGACGCUGAGGUACGAAAGCAUGGGGAGCAAACAGGAUUAGAUACCCUGGUAGUCCAUGCCGUAAACGAUGUCUACUAGCCGUUGGGGCCUUUGAGGCUUUAGUGGCGCAGCUAACGCGAUAAGUAGACCGCCUGGGGAGUACGGUCGCAAGACU